AUUCAUCUGCAAAUUUCAACCCAAAAAAAAAAAAAAAACUCUCUUCUCUAAAUAUCUCUUAAUUUUUCUUGAAAUCAAAUAUUCUAGCCACCCCCUUUUGGAGUAAAAAUACAAAUUUUUUUCCCCUUAAUUUAAAUAUGAAUUCAAUGAGAUUAUUGAAUUUCUCAUUUAUAAUUAUUAGUUUCAUAUUUAUGACAUUUUUCGAAUUUAGUUUUGGACAAGGCAUGGCUCCUUCUUCUGCUCCUCCUCCUUCCAAUGAUGGCACAACAAUUGAUCAAGGGAUUGCUUAUGUUCUUCUACUUGUUGCCCUUGCAAUUACAUACUUGGUCCAUUAAUUAAUAUAUAUUGAAUGUAAUUAUAUUUAGCUAAUUAAUUUAUUCAUUCAUAAUAUAAAUUAUUUAUGUAUUUUUCUCCUAUUAUUCAAAAUGGAGAAAUUUCCAAUUUUUUUUUGUGAGUAAUGAAAUAAGGAAUGGUUACAUA